CACAGAUACUUUCAGAGCAAUGAUGAGCUGGACUUCUCUGCUGCUGCUGGCCUUCUUACCAUAUGUUCAUGGAAUCAGUCUGAGCUCGUCUCCUGCUCAGUUGAAGCCUCCUGGAGGAUCAGUGAGGCUGUCCUGUGAGGUUUCUGGCUAUCGUCUCUCUGAUUACGGUACAGGCUGGAUCAGACAGCCUCCAGGGAAAGCCAUGGAGUGGAUCGGGAUCAUUUGGGGUGGUGGAUCUAUAGACACUGGAGCUUCCUUUAAGAGUCGCUUCAAAAUUUCCAGAGACACAAGCAGUAACGUGCUGUUCUUAGACAUCAGCAGCCUGGAGACUGGAGACACGGCUGUUUAUUACUGUGCAAAGACUGACACAGCAGUGCAGCUCAGUGGGAGCUCUGUACAAAAACCCAUCGACAUCUGUGUUAGUAAGAGACAAGUUUCAUUCAAACUGGAUGAGCAAACAAAACAAUCAGCCACGACCCUUCACUGCUGUUCUAAGUGUUAUUCACUAUUGAAAGUAUCCAGUAGGGUGCGCCCCUCUCCCAGAAACCAAACCAGUUAAAUCCUUCUAAUCUCUUUCUAAUUAUCUCAAUGCAGCAUUAUUCUGCCACAUAUUUAAUGCCACCCUUGGUACAACCUGUAUCAAAAAAAAACUAUAGUAUUAAACAACACCUCAUACGUCACAGUUCUUGGCACACCUACAUUUUGUCAGCAUAACAGCAAUAAGUUGUCACCCAUAAUACCUGAUGAGAUUGGAGAAUACAGAGAAAGUUAUC